GACGAACGCUGGCGGCGUGCUUAACACAUGCAAGUCGAACGGAAAGGCCCUGCUUUUGUGGGGUGCUCGAGUGGCGAACGGGUGAGUAACACGUGAGUAACCUGCCCUUGACUUUGGGAUAACUUCAGGAAACUUGGGCUAAUACCGGAUAGGAGCUCCUGCUUCAUGGUGGGGGUUGGAAAGUUUCGGCGGUUGGGGAUGGACUCGCGGCUUAUCAGCUUGUUGGUGGGGUAGUGGCUUACCAAGGCUUUGACGGGUAGCCGGCCUGAGAGGGUGACCGGCCACAUUGGGACUGAGAUACGGCCCAGCCUCCUACGGGAGGCAGCAGUGGGGAAUAUUGCACAAUGGGCGGAAGCCUGAUGCAGCAACGCCGCGUGCGGGAUGACGGCCUUCGGGUUGUAAACCGCUUUCGCCUGUGACGAAGCGUGAGUGACGGUAAUGGGUAAAGAAGCACCGGCUAACUACGUG
rnacentral:rRNA from 1 species